ACGCCUGGUUGAAGAGAAACGUUUUUGUCUGGAGCCUAAAGAUAUGUGAUGAAGGCGCCAGUCAAACCUCCUUGGGGAGAGCCUUCCACAAAAUGGGGAGCCACCACAGAAAAGGCCCGACUUGGUGUUACCACCCUGCAGCCGUCUCAUGGAGGAGGCACAUGAAGAAGGGCCUCAGAGGAUGGUUGCAGGGUUCAGGUCAGUUCAUAUGGAGAGAGGCGAUCCUUGAGGUGUUGUGGUCUUGAUCCAUUUAAGGCUUUGAACUAGACCUGGAAACUGAUAGGCUGCUAGUGCGUUCAGGCCAGGAACAGUGUAAUAUGUUCCAGUGUGCAACCUGGCCAUGGAAUUGCAUACCAGCUGAUGUUUCCAAGUGUCCAUAGGAAGCCCGCUGUAUAAUGAGUUGCAGUAAUCUAACCUAGAGAUUAUCAUAGCAUAGAUGGCAAUAGUUUGUAAUAGAACAGUGCCAAAUUUAGGGCCAUGUGGGUGGUUCUCCCGCACAGAGUGCUGAGCUGAGGGGGCAAAAAAUAACAUUAAUAACAACAGUAAUUAUAUAUUUAUACAAGUACAUACUGAGAAGAUCCAUUAAAAAGCAUCUGUGCCAAAAGGAAUAAAUAUUAUGGGGUGCCACCAAAUUUUGUCCUUGCUCAGGGUGUUGUUUUACGAAAAUCUGCCCCUGCAACAGAAUAGAACAACACGCACAAACACAGCUGAUGGAUGGUAACAGUAUAAUUCCAGGGCAACUGGCCAUUGGAGCUGGGAGGAGGGGAAGCAAGAUCACUGCAGCUGCUCCUUCUCUGUCUGAUGUAUGGAAACAGGAUACCUAUUCCUAAAAAGAAGAGGGUGCAGCCCCCACAAUGGAUGGGUGCUGUUGUGUUUAGAGGCCUGGGCCACAGAAUAUAGAUGGAGACGAUGUUUGCUAAAUCAAUAGAUUAUUGUAGAGCACUUUCCCUGCUCACAGGAGUCCUUGCUUCCAGAAUUGCCAUACAUCCUGGGAUGGAGCAAGCUGUGUUUAGACCAAAGCAUUCUGUUCUGAAUCAGGAAUGGAUCUGCUCAUUUUGUCUGCAUGCCCAAAGGGCCGGAUUUAGGUUUGAUGAGGUCCUAAGCUACUGAAGGAGAACCUUGAAAACAGAAGAGGACAAAAUAAUCCCUAAUAUAUCACUUUUAAUAAAAUAUGCCUAGCUCUGCUUUGCUACUCUAAGAGAAAUGGAGCUGGAAAACUUUCCUGCACUAGAAUUGCACUCGACCUGCCUUUAUUUUGUUUUGUUUUAAUUUAAAUCACCAAAUAAAAUAAAAUGAUGAUAUCUA